rnacentral:rRNA from 1 species
UACGGAGGGGCGAGCGUUGUUCGGAAUCAUUGGGCGUAAGGGCGCGUAGGCGGCCUUGUAAGUCAGAUGUGAAAGCCCUUGGCUUAACCAAGGAACUGCAUCUGAAACUGCGGGCUUGAGUCCGGGAGGGGAGAGUGGAAUUCCCAGUGUAGCGGUGAAAGUGACGUAGAUAUUGGGAGGAACACCGGUGGCGAAGGCGGCUCUCUGGACCGGUACUGGACGCUGAGGCGCGGAAAGCUAGG